AUUCCACCAUCUCCCACUACUGGGACAUUCCCUUGUCAAUCCUUCCAUUGGAGAGGCAAUUCUAACAUCCACCAGCUGGGUAACAAGCAAGAAGAGAAAAGAAAUUCACUCUGAUUUCUCUUUCCACCCCCAAACAAGAAUCCCCACAUCAUCCAUGUCAAACUUUCAAUCUCAAAACAACACAAUUCCAACAGAGCAAUAAAGGGACACAGGGAUCCGGCAAGCAAGAUGGUCUGUCUUCACAAAAGAUUGUGGUAAGAUCUGAAAUGAGAGAGCAGAGAAAAUCAGCUGAUGGGUACAAUUGGAGGGAAGGGAGCGACCUUCGAAGUUAUUACAAGGGUACAAAUCCCAAUUGUCCAAUGAAGAAUAAACUUGAUUGUUUACCAGGGUGAUCAUAACCAUCCCAAGCCUCAAUCAGCUAGGAGAUCUUCAUCAGCUUCCUCUAAUCAAAGCUCUCGUAAGAGUAAAUCUGUUGGAGAAUAUUUUGAUGAAAGAUGAACCCAAGGCCAAAAGAUGGUAAGUUUGAUUUUGGUAUUGUGUAAAUUACUCAUUUGACUAGUAAGAGUUUUAAUUUAUAUAUGUUCCAUUU